rnacentral:sRNA from 1 species
CUGCAAGCUCCGCCUACCAGAUGCUGGUGAUUCUUGUGCCUCACCCUCCCAAGUAGCUGGGAUUACAGGCGCCCACCACCACGCUCAGGUAAUUUGUGUGUGAGUGUGUGUCUAUGUAUAUAUAUAUAGAGAGAGAGCGAGAGAGACACACACUCACAUGUUUUGGGGUUUUUUUGUUUUGUUUUGUUUUUCUUGAGAUAGAGUCUCGCUGUGUUGCCAGGUGAGUACUGUGGCGUGAUCUCGGCUCACUGUAACCUCCACCUCCUGGGUCCAAGCGAUUCUCCUGCUUCAGCCUCUGGAGUAGCUGGGACUACAGGCGCGUGCCACCAAGCCCAGCUAAUUUUUGUAUUUUUAGUAGAGAUGGGGUUUCACCAUGUUGGGCAGGAUGGUCUCGAUGUAUUGACUUUGUGAUCCGCCCUCCUCGGCCUCCCAAAGUGCUGGGCUCACAGGCGUGAGCCCCCGCGUCCAGCCUCAUCUGCAUUUCUGUGAUGUCUGUGUAAGUUCUGGGUCCCAGCUGGGAGCCGGAAGUUACAGUCUGCUUGCGUCGCUGUUUGACCUGUAGAGGGGCCUUAUCUCGCUCUACGAAUUUGUUUCUUGUUGGGAGAGUGUUUUGUGGUUGGCUUUUAACCUCUUGUUCUGAUUCUAGUGGAAUCCCCCAAAGAAGGUAAAGGGAGCAAGCCUUCCCCACUGUCUGUGAAGAACACCAAGAGGAGGCUGGAGGGCGCCAAGAAAGCCAAGGCGGACAGCCCCGUGAACGGCUUGCCAAAGGGGCGAGAGAGUCGAAGUCGGAGCCGGAGCCGUGAGCAGAGCUACUCGAGGUCCCCAUCCCGAUCAGCGUCUCCUAAGAGGAGGAAAAGUGACAGCGGCUCCACAUCUGGUGGGUCCAAGUCGCAGAGCCGCUCCCGGAGCAGGAGUGACUCCCCACCGAGACAGGCCCCCCGCAGCGCUCCCUACAAAGGCUCUGAGAUUCGGGGCUCCCGGAAGUCCAAGGACUGCAAGUACCCCCAGAAGCCACACAAGUCUCGGAGCCGGAGUUCUUCCCGUUCUCGAAGCAGGUCACGGGAGCGGGCGGAUAAUCCGGGAAAAUACAAGAAGAAAAGUCAUUACUACAGAGAUCAGCGACGAGAGCGCUCGAGGUCGUAUGAACGCGCAGGCCGUCGCUAUGAGCGGGACCACCCUGGGCACAGCAGGCAUCGGAGGUGAGGCGGGGUUGCAGUGACUGGUGGCCGCAAGCCCUUCCCUGGGGAGUACCUGAUGGCUGCCCUUUGACCCCCGGUGGCUGCCCUUUGACCCCCGGGUGUGCUCUCUCAGCGCAAGUGGCCCUAGAGCAGGAUUCUUUUUGGAAAUGUCUGUCGACUGGACCUUGGUGGAUUUGGAAAUGGAACUGAGGGACCGGUGACACGUGCUUCAGACCGGUCUGGGGUGCGGCGCACACCUGGGCCGGUGCGGGGCUCAGCUCGGCAGCAGCUCUGAGGGCAGCUCAAUGAAAAAGUGAAUGCACACGCCCUUGGUGGCGUGGCCUGGCAUGGCCUGGUGCUAUCGGCAGCCGCUCCCCACUCCCCGACUGAUACUCAAUUACGUGAAGCCAAGAAGGAUGAUUUUUAGAACCUUUGCCUAUAUUAGGUUGUACUUAUGUACAUAUUUUGCAGUGUUUCACAGGAGAAAGUGGCCUUAACUGCCCCUUAUUCUCUCUCCACGUUGUAAAUAAACAUGUGUUUAAUACAAGUUAAAGCUAUAUAUGAAAACUCAGAACUUGAAUCCUGUCAGCUUAAAACUUGUGUAGGGAAUCCUGACUUUUUAAAAUGUGAGGGUAUUUGGAUCUGUGUUGAAAGUCGUAUAUUUUUAUCUGUGCGGUGCUGAGUGCAGGCCACCAGCUCCUAAAUAGAGGUUCCCUAUAUGCGCGUAUGACAUGGUGAAUAAACACAACUCUCUCCACUCAGGA